GACGAACGCUGGCGGCGUGCCUAAUACAUGCAAGUUGAGCGCUGAAGGUUGGUACUUGUACCGACUGGAUGAGCAGCGAACGGGUGAGUAACGCGUGGGGAAUCUGCCUUUGAGCGGGGGACAACAUUUGGAAACGAAUGCUAAUACCGCAUAAAAACUUUAAACACAAGUUUUAAGUUUGAAAGAUGCAAUUGCAUCACUCAAAGAUGAUCCCGCGUUGUAUUAGCUAGUUGGUGAGGUAAAGGCUCACCAAGGCGAUGAUACAUAGCCGACCUGAGAGGGUGAUCGGCCACAUUGGGACUGAAACACGGCCCAGACUCCUACGGGAGGCAGCAGUGGGGAAUAGUUGGGCAAUGGGGGAAACCCUGACCCAGCAACGCCGCGUGAAGGAAGAAGGCUUUCGGGUUGUAAACUUCUUUACCAGGGACGAAGGACGUGACGGUACCUGGAGAAAAGCCAACGGCUAACUACGUGCCAGCAGCCGCGGU
rnacentral:rRNA from 1 species